AAGUGUCUUCAGGGCAGGGUGAGAUUCCCGACCGGCGGUGACAAAGGCGAUGAUUUUUCAACGAGAUUAGAUAGUAAGUCGAAGAUGAUAUUAGACUAUAUCAAGAUGAGCUAAUGAUGCGUCAGAGAAAAGAUUCCUUUUGAAGUCCGCGAGCGCAAGCUGAUGUGGUGAAAUUCCACAACCGACAGUAAAGUCUGGAUGGGAGAAGACUGAG
rfam:Streptococcus mutans TA159, complete genome.